UGGGGAAUUUUGGACAAUGGGCGCAAGCCUGAUCCAGCAAUGCCGCGUGCAGGAUGAAGGCCUUCGGGUUGUAAACUGCUUUUGUACGGAACGAAAAAGCUCUCUCUAAUACAGGGGGUGAAUGACGGUACCGUAAGAAUAAGCACCGGCUAACUACGUGCCAGCAGCCGCGGUAAUACGUAGGGUGCAAGCGUUAAUCGGAAUUACUGGGCGUAAAGCGUGCGCAGGCGGUUUUGUAAGACAGAUGUGAAAUCCCCGGGCUUAACCUGGGAACUGCGUUUGUGACUGCAAGGCUGGAGUACGGCAGAGGGGGGUGGAAUUCCACGUGUAGCAGUGAAAUGCGUAGAGAUGUGGAGGAACACCAAUGGCGAAGGCAGCCCCCUGGGCCUGUACUGACGCUCAUGCACGAAAGCGUGGGGAGCAAACA
rnacentral:rRNA from 1 species